AUUGAACGCUGGCGGCAGGCCUAACACAUGCAAGUCGAACGAGUGGCGGACGGGAGAGUAAUGUCUGGGAAACUGCCUGAUGGAGGGGGAUAACUACUGGAAACGGUAGCUAAUACCGCAUACCAUCGGAUGUGCGCAGAUGGGAUUAGCUAGUAGGUGGGGUAAAGGCUCACCUAGGCGACGAUCCCUAGAUGGUCUGAGAGGAUGACCAGCCACACGGGAACGUAGACACGUGCCAGACUCCUACGGGAGGCAGCAGUGGGGAAUAUUGCACAAUGGGCGCAAGCCUGAUGCAGCCAUGCCGCGUGUAUGAAGAAGGCCUUCGGGUUGUAAAGUACUUUCAGCGGGGAGGCGUUACCCGCAGAAGAAGCACCGGCUAACUCCGUGCCAGCAGCCGCGGUAAUAC
rnacentral:rRNA from 1 species